AAUCAACGCUGGCGGCGUGCCUAACACAUGCAAGUCGAACGCGAAAGCCCCGCAAGGGGCGAAGUAGAGUGGCAAACGGGUAGAGUAACACGUGGGUGACCUGCCUUCGAGCGGGGGAGUAACGUCCCGAAAGGGACGCUAAUACCGCAUAACAUCCUGCCUUUGAAGAGGUGGAGAUCAAAGCUGGGGAUCGCAAGACCCGGCACUUGAAGAGGGGCCCGCGUCUGAUUAGCUAGUUGGUGGGGAACGGCCUACCAAGGCAACGAUCAGUAUCCGGCCUGAGAGGGCGGACGGACACACUGGGACUGAGACACGGCCCAGACUCCUACGGGAGGCAGCAGUGGGGAAUUGUUCGCAAUGGGCGCAAGCCUGACGACGCAACGCCGCGUGGAGGAUGAAGAUUUUCGGAUCGUAAACUCCNGUCGAAUGGGACGAACAGAUUGCGGGUUAACAGCCCGUAGUCCUGACGGGUACCGUUAAAGGAAACCCC
rnacentral:rRNA from 1 species